GAAGAAGCUUCUUCAGUGAAUCUUUGAAAACUCUUAUUCAUGAGAAAAGCAAAACUUAAGAAGUAGCAUAAAUGAGCGGAAGAUGGGAAAUGGAAAAAAAAACAAAAAAUAAAAAGAAAUAAUAUAUUAUUUGCACGUCAAGAGUACAUGAACAAUGGGAUAAUGACUUAAAUCUAAUAAGCAUAUGUAAAUACAUGUAGGACUAAUGAAGCGUUUUAUUAUGUGCAUUACUAAUUUAGUGUUUGAAGGUUGCUUCUAAUAAUGCAAUUGUGAUGCUUCAAAUAAUGUUGGCCGCUUAUGAUUCUAAUAAUAUUACAUUAUGAAUGCUAUAUUUGUUCUGAAUUGCAUGAAAAACAUAAAUUUAUCCCCAAGAAGAUAUUCACCUAAGAAUUUUAAAUCAAACAAAGAAACAUGUAUUUUUAAAAUGUCAAACAACUGACAGCUUAGAUGUGACAUAAUUAGUUAACUACACAUAUAUUUUGCAAACAAUAACUAAAUUAACAAAAUAAUUGAAAAUAUAUAUAGAAAGAACAAAAAUGCAAGUUACACUUUAACAAGGAUGUUGCAAUGCAACAUAUAUGUAUCAGAUAAAGUUACCUACAAUUACAAUCUGCAACCAAAAACAAAAUUAAGGAGAAAAUGAGAUAAAGAAGAAAUUAACAAUCAAGUUGUAAUUGAAAAAAGAACUACAUCUUAGAAAACUUUGGAAGACAAAAUAUCUUCAAAUCCAAAUGAGAAUUAUUUAUUCAAUAACCCAAACUACUUUAAGAGCAAGCAAAAUUUUUGAGAACUGAAGCAUAUAAUAAGAUAAGGUAUGAUUCAUGAGAAACCACCGAGCAAUGUACUCAAUGCAAGGCAUGAUAUGUGAGCAUAUCUAAUCCAAAGCACACACAGUUGAGUUCCAAAACAUCAUGGACGAUGUCUUCUAUCAUACCUUAGAUGGCCCUAUGAAAAACCAACAUCCUAGGGAAGUAGUUUGCAAUCAAUCCAAGACCCCAAACAAAAAAAUCAACUUUGGACAUACCAUAUGAUACCUACAAGUAAUUAUAUAGUAGAAACAUACUUUUCAAUGAAUAUGAAUCAUAUCGCACAAAUAUUUGUUUAGGUCAUCACACAUAUACAACUCUAGCGCAAUAAUACAUAGUCAAAUGCAGAUAGUAUUAGACCCAAAUAUAACUCAUAAAAAAAUAAUUCACACAGCAUAACCAGUAUGCAUUUUUUACAGUAACUAUAAACUUUAUACUCAGCAACGCUUCAUAACUUCAUAUUAUUUUGGACAUUAAAAUUUAUUCUUUUUAUAUUCCUACGAUUGAAAUUUUGUUUUAGUUACUGAAUGCUUACGAUAAUAUUUGUUGAUCCAAAAAUUCAUGAUAAUGGUUUAAUAUGUUACUGCCAAAGUUGCACCUCUCACAAUUUUAUUCUAGCACAAAAUUGUAGUGGUUACAUAACCUUAGCUCUCUAAUGCAGAAGUUUAUGAGGAUGGUUGCUGGUAAAAGUGCAUGCAGAAGCAGGAUUCUGAAAAAAUGCAUAAACAUAUUAACUCCCACAAAGCCUGCUUCAGCUAGAUCUGACGAAAAAAAAAGAACUACGGCAACACAAGUAUUGUAGAUACAGAGUUUUGUAAAACAAAGAAAAUGAAGAGUUUUCGUAUGUGCAUUAAUAAUUUAGUGUUUGAAGGUUUCUUCUAACAAUGUUGUUAUGAUGCUUCAAAUAAUGUUGGCCGCUUAUGAUUCUAAUAAUAUUGCAUUAUGAAUGUUAUAUUUGUUCAGUAUUGCAUGAUGAAUGUUUUAUUUUUACAUGUGAUUGAUAACAAGAAGGUAGCAAUAACCUACUUGUUAGAAAAUACAAUGUUAUUUGAAAAAAAUGAUAGCAUAUCCUGAUUAAAAUAUUGUAUCAAGAUACAUUAACAAAUUUUUAUUUUCCUUUGUAAUCAAUUUUAGUUGAAAUAACAUUAAUGCUUCAGGUUUGUGAUCAACACUAAUAACAAACUUGUCGUUAAAGAAAACCUAAAACAAUAUUUUAGGAUUAUCAAUAGUUGCAUUAUAGUCUCUAAAUAAUUUUCAUAGGUUUAUUUGGAACUUAUUGCGAUGAGCCCUGAUUGUGAUAACAAAGAGCAAGAACUUAUGAUCUGUCUCUUUAUUUAUCGGAUGUGCCGCUGGAUUAUAAAAAAAAAAUUAUUAGUCACACUCAAAGGGCCAUUUUGCAUUUAUUUCUCACUUCUCCUAUCUUCAUAAAUCUUUUUCUCAUGUCAAUAGCCCUCACUGCUCCUAUCUUCAUAAAAAGAUUAUCAUGACCUUCCUCAAUCAAUCUGCUAGCUUCCAACUUCCAAUAAUUGAAUCUCUCUCAUCUCAAAAGAGUACUAUCCUAACUUUCCUCAAUCGUCUAUCAAAUUUGGAUAUUUUACUCCCUAUUUUUAUCAUUAAACCCCAUAAUAUGUAUAUAUAUCUUUAGAAAAUUUUAUCUCAAUCAUGUCCAAUUAACAUAAUAACCUAAUAUAAAUGAGCCUUCUAUAAUGAAAUAUUGAACUAUUAAUUGAUCUAAUAAAGUAAUACACUGAUUCACCUUCAACCCUACAUAUCAAAGCUCUAACAAGUUGAUCUUUGAUAGAGAGAUGAAGCCUACAUAUUACGCAGAAAUAAUCUGUAAACAAAGACAUGGUCCUGUGUGAAUCUUUAAAAAGCUUAAUAUAAUCUUAGCGCAGGCAAAACACCAAUGGCCCAGAUCAGAUUUGAACUAAGAACAACACAAAAGCGUAGGUUGAAAUCAAUAAUACACAUUAGUUUGAUAAAACAAUGGUGUUUAGAAGAGCAAGUGUCUCAAAUUUAAUAUAAAUGAGCCUUAUAUAAUGGAAUAUUUAACUAAUAAUUGAUCUAAUACACUAAUUCACUUACAACCCUACAUAUCAAAGCUAUAACAACUAACAAGUUGAUCUUUGAUAGAGAAAUGAAGCCUGCAGAUUAUGCAAAAAUAGUUUUUAAACAAAGACAUGGUCUUGUGUGAAUCUUAAAAAAGCUUAAUACAAUCUUAACGCAGGCACGACACCAAAUGAUCUAUAUCAGAUUUGAACUAAGAACAACACCAAAGCGUAGGAUGAAAUCAAAUAAUACACAUUAGUUUGCAAAAGUAAUGGUGUUCAGAAGAGCAAGCGUCUCCACUAUUAGCCGAACCAUCGUUAAUCUCGACAUCUAACCCUUUCUCUCUUCUGAAGCGGAAAGUGAAACCUUAUUGACCUCUGGGGCUGGAGAAAUCUCCGUCGAAGGGAAGGAAGAAAAAAAAUAGAAGAAGAAUGGGAGGGAGAGGAAGAAGAAGGGGAAAAUAGAGAAGCGGAUAAAGAAGAAUAUAGAGAAAAGAAGGAAAAAAAUAGAGAAGAAGAUGGGAAUAAACGGAAAAACAAAGAAGUUGGGGAAAAGGAUGAAAAAAAAAAUAAGAAGAAGAAAAAUAACUUUAAUAACAGGAAAAAAUGCAUAAUUAAUAUUCUUAAUCAAAUUCAUCACUUAGUUUUCACCAAAAAAGUAUAUUAGAAUAUAGAAAAAAAUUAUAAUUAUAGCACUUAGGAUUGUACAUUUACUGAGAUGCGUAAAAUAGCGCAUUUCCUUAGUUGCUAAAAACUUUAAGAAGAAUAGAUUAUUCUGCAUAUAUUCAUUGGCAUGAUUGAGCCAAAUUUAACAUUAUUAACAACUAAGUUAACGACAUAAAAUGAUUCCAAAAUACACUUUCGCCUCAACUUCAAUCUCGUUUGGUUAAUUCUCUAAAAAAAUUCUAUAAAAAAACUACAGCAAAUUUCCUAAAUCAUAUAAUGAUACGAAAAAUGCAAUUUAUAAGAAAUCUUAGAAUGAUACACAAUUUCCUAAAUAAUAUUAAACACAAAAUUUUGUGAUAUUGUUUAUAAAACAAAUAUAUAUAAUUAGAUUUUAGUAAUUCAAACAAUAAGUCAUUAGCUCUUACAUUUUUCUCCACAAACAAAGAUUUAUGUGAACUACUAAUUGCUGAAAGCUUUAUUAAACUCUCAAUAAUAUAUUACCAAAUCCAAAAAAAUAAAUUAAUAAAUUCUAUUUUAUUUUAUUUUAUUUUAUUCAGAACUGAAUAGAUCCAUUUAUGCAGAAUUUUGUUUGAAAUUUCAAAUUUGUAGCUAUAAGGCAAGUAAAGUAGGAAGCCAAUGAAAAGACGUAACAGUUGCGAUUGAUAUCUAAUUAGUGCGAUACCACCCCAUUAACUUACCUCUCCACAGAAGCAUCCUUAGAAUGGUUUAGAUCUGUAAAAAAACAUCCAAGCUAUCCCACCGUAAACAAAGAAAGAAAAAAAAAAAAAAA